GAGGGUGUAGCCCAGUGGUAGUGUGUGUGCUUCACAUGCAUGAGGUCCUGGGUUCAAUCCUCAGUACCUCCA
rnacentral:tRNA from 1 species